rnacentral:rRNA from 1 species
UAACAGGCUUAUCUUGCCCAAGAGUUCACAUCGACGGNANGGUUUGGCACCUCGAUGUCGGCUCGNCNCAUCCUGGGGCUGAAGNNGGUCCCAAGGGUNNGGCUGUUCGCCNNUUAAAGNGGNACGCGAGCUGGGUUCAGACCGUCGUGAGACAGGUCGGUCUCUAUCCGUCGUGGGCGUCCGGAGAUUUGAGGGGAGCUCUCUCCAGUACGAGAGGGCCGAGAGGGACAGACCUCUGGUGUUCCAGUUGUUCCGCCAGGGGCAUUGCUGGGUAGCUAUGUCUGGUNAGGAUAAGCGCUGAAAGCAUCUAAGUGCGAAGCCNACCCCAAGAUAAUAUCUCCCAUCCCGACUUCGGUCGGGAGUAAGGCCACAAGUAGACUACUUGCUAUAUAGGCCGCAGGUGUAAGCGCAGUAAUGCGUUCAGCUGAGCGGUACUAAUGGCCGAGGGCUUGGCCUG